rnacentral:lncRNA from 1 species
GGGUGUGGGGUUUAGUGUUGAUAGUUUAGGGUUUGGUGUUAGAUGGUUUAGGGUUUAGAGUUGGAAGUUUAGGGUUUAGGGUUUAGAGUUGAUGUUUUAGGUUUAUAGUUGAAGGUUUAGAGUGUAGGAUUUAUAGUUGAUGUUUCAGGGUUUAGGGUUUAGAGAUGAUGUUUCAGGGUUUAAGGGUUCGUAUUUCAAAAAAAAAAAUAGGAUUUAGGAUUGAUGGUUUAGGGUUUGUAUUUCAAAAAAUAAUAUAGGGUUUAGGAUUGAUGGAUUAGGGUUUAAAGUUGUGUUUUAGAGUUUAGGGCUUGAAUUUCGAAAUAGUAUAAUUGAAAAAAAGAAAAAAAAUUUAGAUUUUUUAUGUAUUUAAAUAUUUAUUUUAUAUAUAUAUAAAGAAUAAGAGCAUAAGAGUCUUUUGCCACUUAAUGAAAAAUGUAUUUUUGAAAAUGUUCACUUAGUGGUGGUAAAUAUAAAAAGUGAUAGUAUGAAUGUGGUAAACAU